rnacentral:misc_RNA from 1 species
AACCACUCACGCCUGGCGUGGUAUUGGGGCACGCGGUCUCCGCGGCCCUCAAAAUUAGUGGCGGUGCCGGUGGGCUCUAAGCGUAGUACAUACUCCCGCUAUAGAGUUCCCCCGGUGGCUCGCCAGAACCCCCCAAUUUUUUACA